GCCUGCCCCGCCCGGCGCCGCACCACGUGGGCCAGGCGCCCCACGCCUGGAGCUCCCCUCUCUGGAGCCCCGGGAAAGGAAGCGGGGCAGGGAGGCCGGGUGGGAGCAGGGGGGUCUCCGGCGCUUCCUCUCCUCUGCGGGCGCCGCGCGGCUCCUGAGAGUCCGCCCCCCGUCCUGACGCUCAGCUAGGAAGCGGGUCCUCGGGCCCCUCCCCCGACACACACACACACACACACACACACACACACACACACACACACUCUCUCUCUCUCUCUCUCUCUCUCUCUCUCUCUCUCUCUCUCUCACACACACACACACACACACAGCCCGUCUCGCGCCUGAGGUCUCGCCCGCAGGCCGGUGGCGCGGGGUCAGCUGCUGCCUGCGGUCCAGGACAGGGUCGGUUCCGCCGCGCAGCGCCCAGGCCCAGCUCGUCCAGAGUCUGCGGACAGCGCACGUCCAGGUAACGCGCUUCAAGGGGCCGCGGCUCGGAGCUGGGGGACCCCGGGCCGCCCUGCCCAUACGAGUGCGAGCGUGGAGA
rnacentral:lncRNA from 10 species